UACGUAGGGUGCGAGCGUUGUCCGGAAUUACUGGGCGUAAAGAGCUCGUAGGUGGUUUGUCGCGUUGUUCGUGAAAACUCACAGCUUAACUGUGGGCGUGCGGGCGAUACGGGCAGACUGGAGUACUGCAGGGGAGACUGGAAUUCCUGGUGUAGCGGUGGAAUGCGCAGAGUAUCAGGAGGAACACCGGUGGCGAAGGCGGGUCUCGUGGGCAGUAACUGACGUGGAGGAGCGAAAGCGUGGGGAGCGAACAGG
rnacentral:rRNA from 1 species